rnacentral:rRNA from 1 species
GACGAACGCUGGCGGCGUGCUUGACACAUGCAAGUCGAGCGGUAAGGCCCUUUCGGGGGUACGACGAGCGGCGAACGGGUGAGUAACACGUGGGUGACCUGCCCUCAGCUCUGGGAUAAGCCUGGGAAACCGGGUCUAAUACCGGAUAUGACUCCAUGACGCAUGUUGUGGGGUGGAAAGCCUUGUGCGGCUGAGGAUGGGCCCGCGGCCUAUCAGCUUGUUGGUGGGGUGANGG